AUCCAACGCAAACAGCCCAUGCUCACAAGGAACAAAUGGUAUUUCAAGCACCUAAACCAAAGGACCAUGCGGAUCAAUGCCUUCCCAAACCUCCGGAUAAGGUAGAGUUUGUUUUGCCUGAAUUUAGUACUAAAUUGCAGCUAGCUAUGGAGAAAUAUGAAUUGAAGUUGGAAGUGCUAAAAAAUGCAAACAUAAGAGCUAGAGGCACACCUCAUCU
rnacentral:lncRNA from 1 species